GACGAACGCUGGCGGCGUGCUUAACACAUGCAAGUCGAACGGAAAGGCCCUGCUUUUGUGGGGUGCUCGAGUGGCGAACGGGUGUGUAACACGUGAGUAACCUGCCCUUGACUUUGGGAUAACUUCAGGAAACUGGGGCUCAUACCGGAUAGGAGCUCCUGCAGCAUGGUGGGGGUUGGAAAGUUUCGGCGGUUGGGGAUGGACUCGCGGCUUAUCAGCUUGUUGGUGGGGUAGUGGCUUACCAAGGCUUUGACGGGUAGCCGGCCUGAGCGGGUGACCGGCCACAUUGGGACUGAGAUACGGCCCAGACUCCUACGGGAGGCAGCAGGGGGGAAUAUUGCACAAUGGGCGGAAGCCUGAUGCAGCAACGCCGCGUGCGGGAUGACGGCCUUCGGGUUGUAAACCGCUUUCGCCUGUGACGAAGCGUGAGUGACGGUAAUGGGUAAAGAAGCACCGGCUAACUACGUG
rnacentral:rRNA from 1 species